UUUAAUUGAGUUAUAAAGUAAUAAAUGAUCGAAGUAAAUCGGAUAAUAAAGUUGGUUUUUUUUUGCCAUGUCAAAACUAACUAAUAAAUCAUUUAAACAAUUAAAUGGGUCCUACAAAGUGGCCCUGUUCUUUGAUAUUAAGCGCGUGAGGAUUUAAAUAUUGAAAAAAAAGACGGGCCUUUCUUUUAUUUCAAUUUAAAUAAUAUAAAAUAAUAUAAUAAUUUUUUGUUGUUUUUGUUGAGAGUGCAAGCGAAUGAUCGAGCAGUGUGUGUGUGUUUGUGAGGAAGUUAUAGUUUAAUGUUGGUUAGCUUCAAUUGUCGAGCAACACAACACAAAAAAAAAGAAAAAUACAAAUUAUACAGCAGCGCAGCAACAACAAAAGCAAAAACAACAACUACAAAGUGAUGCUGAUUGAUGUCACACACACCACGAGAAACAGAAAAAAAAUUAUCACCUUGAAGGGCUUUAUCAACUUUAGCCAGCACAUAAAGAUGUUAUCUUGGAGAACCGUUUAGAGGCGAGCUUGUGAACAAUUUCCAAUACUACAGGUGAGUUUUGACAUUAAGAAUACAAGCGAAUUGCUUCGAGAGAAGCCAACAAAAUCAACAAAACGCCUCGGCCAUUCAUAAUUUAUGCAUAUGAACCAUGAAUUUUCCGUGAAUUUUGCAAAGAGCGGAGCCUGCGAUGAUAAGAUAAACUUCUACACUCUUCGCUGCCUUUUGUUGUGCGUGUGUAUUGUAUACUUGGGGCAUUGUUGUAAUGCCAUAACAAUCAAGUGAAAUUACGCUAAAUGACACGCUCAUUACGGCCCUUCGUUUUUAGGGGUGGUUACUUGGCAGCAAACCGAAAAUCAUUGCCUACUUAUGAGCGCCUCGAACGAAAUGAAACGAAACAAACGAAGGGGGUUGCGUUGCCCAUUUAUUAUUUAAAUAAAAACAUACAAAUAAGCGCUUGAAAAACGCUUUAUAACACUUUCGCUCGCACAGCCGUGUAUUUGCAUAUAAAAUAAACGAACAAAAAAAAUGUUCAUUAUGUUUGUCAAAUGAACAAUAAAUGUCAAUGCCCGCCGCCUCUCAGCUGCUAUUCUUUAUUUUCCCAUUGUUUGUUUGCUAACAAAAAAACAGCGAAAAAGGAGGAAAAUUUGAGGAGAAUCUGUGACAACGCUUUAAACGGUUUUAUUGGCUUUUCAAAUUGGCCAAAGGCCAAGAAUAUUGUACAUAAACCGGCAGCAAAAUUUAUAUUACGCAAAAUAUGCCAAGGCGGGCAAACUUUGCUUUGACCAGAAGCUUUUGAAGUUUUUCUCACCAAAGUCCCUUUCUCUGCUUUCUCCCCUUCCCCUUCCCACUUUCACCUCCAAUUUCUCCUGGCUCCUGUUGCUGGCAGAGAAAGUGAAAGUAAAGUGUAAUUAGGUUUGUUUUGCGUGGCUGCUGUCUGCAAAUGAAAUGCCUGAUGGAGAAGGCAACGGAGGAGGCUUUGCUGCUUAUUAUUAUCAUUAUUAUUAUUAUUAUUAUGACCCC